rnacentral:miRNA from 1 species
GUGUCUGACGAGGUCGACACUGCCUCGAGGAACAUGAUGUUGCUCCCCGAGACUGUGUCGUACUCGUCGGACACGA